rnacentral:snRNA from 13 species
UCACUUUUGCUGUGCAUAUACUAAAAUUAGAAUGAUACGAUGGAGAUUAGCAUGGCCCCUAUGCAAGGAUGACAAGUAAAAAAGUUCUGAAGACUGUG